GCUAGUAGUAGAUAUAAGGACAGGGGGAAAAAAAAUUGUCGAUGGGUCUGUGGAAGCUGAAGGUAGCGCACCUGUGAAUGAAGCUAGGGUGAAGGGGAACGCCAAAAAUGUUGCAAGCAUCAAAAUGGGUGCCGUGAGUUCCAGCCAAGCAAGAUUAAUGGAAGCUUCGAAAUGACACAGGUAUUUACAUGAUGAGGUACCUGGAGACGGUCAUGGGCGAGUCUUCGUCGUUGUGGACAUGUGGUUUGGCUCAAAAGUUAAGAAAACAACUUAACCUUUUGCGAGUGCGUUACUGUGCAUCUCUUAUUGAUUGGGAUAAGAACAGUAUUCACAUUGCAAUGGAGGAAAGUGCAAAAGCGAGUUUCGAUGCAGGGUUCAAGGAUCCGACAUUUAACCUCGACGUUGCGUGGCUUGGGAAGUGAUGUUAUUUAGCAACUGUUCCAGGCUAUGAAUAUUGAAGUUUUACUUAUAUUUUUGCGUACCCUUUUGGCAGUAUAAUUCAUGUACCUUUUUGGCAUAGACAUUAUUGAUACUCGGAUUUUUAUU